ACUUGCUUUGGCAGGAUGUGUACUAAAAUCGCAACUAUACAGAGGAGAUGAGCAUGUCCCCGUGCAGGAAUAACAAGUAAAUCCAUGCUAUGUUUCACCAUUUU